AGCGAACGCUGGCGGCAGGCUUAACACAUGCAAGUCGAGCGGGCACUUCGGUGUCAGCGGCAGACGGGUGAGUAACACGUGGGAACGUACCCUUCGGUUCGGAAUAACGCUGGGAAACUAGCGCUAAUACCGGAUACGCCCUUUUGGGAAAGGUUUACUGCCGAAGGAUCGGCCCGCGUCUGAUUAGCUAGUUGGUGGGGUAAUGGCCUACCAAGGCGACGAUCAGUAGCUGGUCUGAGAGGAUGAUCAGCCACACUGGGACUGAGACACGGCCCAGACUCCUACGGGAGGCAGCAGUGGGGAAUAUUGGACAAUGGGCGCAAGCCUGAUCCAGCCAUGCCGCGUGAGUGAUGAAGGCCUUAGGGUUGUAAAGCUCUUUUGUCCGGGACGAUAAUGACGGUACCGGAAGAAUAAGCCCCGGCUAACUUCGUG
rnacentral:rRNA from 1 species